rnacentral:tRNA from 1 species
GAGGGUAUAGCUCAAGUGGUAGUGUACAUGCUUAGCAUACAUGAGGCCCUGGGUUCAGUCCCCAGUACCUCCU